rfam:Cavia porcellus supercont2_22 genomic scaffold, whole genome shotgun sequence.
GGGGAUUUAGCUCAGUGGCAUAAGCACCUGCCUUGCAAACAGGCAGUCGUGAGUUCAAUCCCUG